GAUCCUGGCUCAGUAUGAACGCUAGCUACAGGCUUAACACAUGCAAGUCCAGGGGCAUCAGUUUGGUUUGCUUGCAAACCAAAGCUGGCGACCGGCGCACGGGUGAGUAACACGUAUCCAACCUGCCUCAUACUCGGGGAUAGCCUUUCGAAAGAAAGAUUAAUAUCCGAUAGCAUAUAUUUCCCGCAUGGGUUUUAUAUUAAAGAAAUUCGGUAUGAGAUGGGGAUGCGUUCCAUUAGUUUGUUGGGGGGG
rnacentral:rRNA from 1 species